CCUUCAGCAUCGAGGCAUUUCAAAUUCAGAUGAUGAAACCAUUUUCUCGUCUUCUAUCCUUCAUUCCAAAACUUUCGCAAUGGCUUUGGGAGAUAACGUCUUACACUACCUUUCAACGAAUUCCCUACGCAGUCAGCUUUUUCUGAAAAAAGAAUUGGUAAAAUUAUUCCAGGGGAGCGAUGAGCAAGGCACUUUUGAACUAGUAGGGGGCAGGAACAAAAUGGGUGUGUCAUAGAAACUAGUUUUCUUUUCGACGCCAGCACGUGAGUAAUAUAUUCCGGAAGCUAUGACAUGCGAUAAAAAAGGAACUGUUUAAGGGAAUCGUCUGUGGGGGACGCUUUAACAAUUUUGAUAAAUUCGUCCUUCAGGCAAGCCAUUUCUCGAAACUGUAUUUUAUGAUUUAAAAAUAUCUAUUGGGUUUGCUUAAUUAUUUAUUAUUAAUUAUUAUUGUUUCCUUGGAUCCGUUUUGAGUGAGCAUUCCACUGAUCAAGGUUCGCAGGAUUCUGGAUUUCAAGAUCAAUCCCGAAGACGUUCGAGAGCUAAAGAAGAUUUAUUAAAAGAGAACCGUAUUGACCUUAGUGCAAAAAUGCGGCACAGAAACUGCUCAGAGAAUGAAUAACUCGAAAUUUCUUGAAGUGCCAUACACCUGUUAACUUUAACCGAUGCCUAAGAGAAACGUUUUCGUGCUCAUAUUUAUAUGCGGCGACAAUCAACAGUUGUGGUUUUACGCUUUUAAU